rnacentral:rRNA from 1 species
AUUGAACGCUGGCGGCAGGCUUAACACAUGCAAGUCGAGCGGGGUGAUGGUGCUUGCACUAUCACUUAGCGGCGGACGGGUGAGUAAUGCUUAGGAAUCUGCCUAUUAGUGGGGGACAACAUCUCGAAAGGGAUGCUAAUACCGCAUACGUCCUACGGGAGAAAGCAGGGGAUCACUUGUGACCUUGCGCUAAUAGAUGAGCCUAAGUCGGAUUAGCUAGUUGGUGGGGUAAAGGCCUACCAAGGCGACGAUCUGUAGCGGGUCUGAGAGGAUGAUCCGCCACACUGGGACUGAGACAAGGCCCAGACUCCUACGGGAGGCAGCAGUGGGGAAUAUUGGACAAUGGGGGGAACCCUGAUCCAGCCAUGCCGCGUGUGUGAAGAAGGCCUUAUGGUUGUAAAGCACUUUAAGCGAGGAGGAGGCUCUUUUGGUUAAUACCCGAGAUGAGUGGACGUUACUCGCAGAAUAAGCACCGGCUAACUCUGUGCCAGCAGCCGCGGUAA